CCCUUAGAUGUCCUGGGCUGCACGCGCGCUACACUGAUGUGUCCAGUAAGCACCUAACCUAUUCCGAGAGGAGCGGGUAACCUUAGCAAAGCACAUCGUGAUGGGGAUAGAUCAUUGCAAUUAUUAGUCUUGAACGAGGAAUUCCUAGUAAGCACAAGUCAUCAGCUUGUGUUGAUUACGUCCCUGCCCUUUGUACACACCGCCCGUCGCUCCUACCGAUUGAAUGUUCCGGUGAGCUCUUCGGACUGCGCGGUCUGCAGUUUCUGCGUUCCGUGCGGAAAGUUGUGCAAACCUUAACAUUUAGAGGAAGGAGAAGUCGUAACA
rnacentral:rRNA from 1 species